ACAUCAGAGAAAACACCUAAGCAAGCCUGCUCUACCUGGCAAAAUAAUAUCAGUGUUAUAUUCUAGCUGAACAUGUGUAUGCUUAUGGAGAUCUGUUUGAAAAUGUAAUGAUAAUUUGCUUUGGAAGAAAACAAAUAUAUGAAAAAUUAAAACCAGAAGUCAGGCUUCUUCCUCUCAGCCUUAUAAAAGACAGUAAAACUAGUGUAAAAAUCAGUGUAACUUAAUUGACUUUCCAAUGCUAAUUUAUGCUAAUGGAGGUUCUGGUCCAUAGUUUUCACCUGGGAACUCAAUAGCAAUGAGUGAUGGCUCCAAUUAGUCAUUAUAAUUGUGAGUUGCUAAAGCUAAUAUUAGUAGAACUGCAUGACAUUCUGGGUAUUUCCCCAAACUUUUCUGAUAAUAAGCCCUGUUCUACACAGCUGGAUCAUAUUUAGCUGCAAAUGUGUCUCAGCUGGGUUUCUUAGUCUUUUGGGUUAUCCAGGAGCGUUUGCAGAGGGCUCUCCUUUACUAGAAUACACCAGUAACUACCCACGAGUCCUGCCCAGAGUUACUACCUGCAAACAAUCAACCAGCCUUCCUCCUUGAUGGUUUUGAUUGGGCGUGAAGAGCGAUGUUUGUCUAUCAGAUAGUAACAGGCUGUCACUGUGAGAUACUCCCAUGUGUUCACCACCUGCAUGAGUACUGGCCUAUCCAGGAAGUCUGAUUAAAUUACGGAGAGUGAAAAAGAGAGAAUCAGCUUUAGUUCAUCUGAAAGAAUUUGCUGAAAGACUUCUUAAAUUCAAGGUACAGCAAAUUUAGCUUCUCUGAUGUACACAGAGAAGACUGCAUGAAGCAGGGAUGAUGGUUCAUGAGCUCAGCACCUGUGCUCACCAUCCUUUUGCUUUCCACAACACACAGAAGGCAGCUCAGGCUGUGUUUGCAAUGAACUCGAUCAUUUGGCAGCUGGGAGUGAGCAGCCCAAAGCCCAAGCUGGACGUAAAACUUCCCACUCUGAAGCCAUCCUACCUUCAGUGCUAUGUUUAUUCCUUGUCAAUAGCAUUACUCAAAGACAACAUUUUCUGUCCUUUGGGGAGAAUUACAUACAGCUUCAUCAGAUGGUGUCGUCUCAUCCUCUUGCAAAGUGAGGAUCCUGUCCUUCACCUGCGAUGAAGUUUUAUUAAAGGCUUCAGAACACUUCCACUUCUAAAUUACAGGAUUUUUCUUUGCUGAAGUAAAUAUCUAAAGUUAAACUCUAAAGAUAGAGCCUGCAGGAAUUAAUCGUUUGUCUAGACAUGUGAGUUAAUGCUAGUUGAAUAAUAGAUCUUCCCAAGAAACAACCUGCUUAAGUUGGCAACUGUGGGCUACACUGGGAAACCUAUACAAAAGUUCAUACCGUGUUGCCUAGGAAAAGCAAGCUAUACACUUAUUUUGGUUUGGUAGGAUAUAUUAACACAGAGAAUAAAAUAAUACUAAAAUAUAGAAGAUGGUAUGACGUAUUUCAAUGGUUCUGCUGUUUUACAGGGCAGAGGACAGCACAGAGCCUGUAUUAUAUAUGUAACUUAUUUAUAGGUUAUUAGUUAGAUGUACUUUUAUAAAGCAAUGAAAGAGAAACAGAUUUCCUGCUCAGAGUGCUGUUUUGUAAACAGUUGUGCUGGCUUCAGGAAAAAAAAAAAAUCUUAAUAGGGGGAUGCUCAGGGUUUUCCAUAUUAAGGGGCACUCUGAAAUUACCUAAGGGUUUCUCCAGGGUUGUUCCAUUAUGUCAGAAGUAUUUAUAUUGCCAGAAAGCUGCAAGUCAACUGCGGAAAAUGUAGCAAUGAAAUUCUUCAGGAAAGGACAAGAAAGAAUGACAAAAUACAGAGGAACAAUAGUAGGCAUCUGCCACAAACCACUUGAUUUGGAGGAGAACAAGAAUGUUCCAUCUCACAGCACACUGUAAUUGCAGAAGACUGUUAACCACUGUAAGGUCUGGAGAAGAAGAGGUACUACUAAGUGUUAAGGUUCUUCAUUUUUAUAGAGGAUAAUUUUAUGCUACUAGAAAUAAAGAUUUAAUUUUUGCCCACAAGGACUUUGUGCCUGGAAAGCAUUAACAAUAAGAAAAAGGAAGGUUCUAUUCUUAGCUUAUUUUGGCAACUAAUCCAAUUAGCAACAGUAGUUGAUUGGAUAGCCAACCAGCUGAAAUGAACUUGCCUAUAAAUCUUAUCUUUUAAUAACUGCAGCAACUUCCUUGCAUUUAUUUUCUCUGUCUUUUUUAGAAUUCAUGGUUUCCUGGUUACCUCCUAAUAUUUGAGACCCUCUGUUAUUCUUUCGUUUCAAAUCUGUCUGCUGCCAAUACGCAACGUUGGUGUCACCUUCUCUUUGGAAGAGGGUACUGAGCAGAAAGGGAGAGCAUAGAGCCAGAGCCCUUUGUGAUGGGAACCACUUCUGGUCAUCACUUCUUGAUCCCCAUCUGUUUUCAUCUGCAUGCAUUUGGUCCUCUUAUUUGAUACAGCAUCGUUCCCUCUCCCCUCUGCUUCUUUUCAUCCCCCUUCCUUCUGCUAUUUUUGGUCCAUUAUCCUAAGUACAGGUUGAUUUUUCCCUCUAUUUUCUUUUCCAACCCUGUAAAAAUAAUUAUUUUCAAUGUUGACCCUUCCUUACAGGGUGUCUACUUGCAGUGUAUUCCUUCCUAUUCCUCCUGAAUACUCAGACUAAACAACAAGGGGUCAGAGCAAUAUUUUUUUUCUUCAACAGGCCUUCAACUAGGGAAAAGCUAAUUAAUUAGCUGAGAGAGCUUCUCUGGGAGUAAGAGCAGGAGGACAUGUUCCCACUAGGCUACCCUGCUUUGUAUUUUAGAUAGGAUGCAACGUUUCGCAACCUUAUCACUUCUCUGCUGCAAACAAAGCCUGGUAAAUUUUAGGGAUCGUUUUCUUUCCACAGCUAAGCUUGAUAAGGUCUCUGCAGUGGGUUUAAAUCUUUCAAGGCUGCUGACGUCCCAUGGGCACAGGAAAAUCAUAUCUAGGUUUUUCUUAAGAACCUAGAAAGUUGCGUGAAGGACCUCAUUUUAUCCCCUUACCAUCCAGCAUUAGAUAUUGCGUGAUCAUGUAGCUAAAAUGAUUUUCUGUACCAUUCCUCAUAAAGUUGAAAUGAAAGAUUAAUUAAAGAUAUAUAUAUAUAUUUAAUCAGCCCACCUGAUAGCUUGUUGAUAAUGUUAAAAAUUUGGGAAAAGGAUAAGUCAGAAGCUUGAAAGAAAGACGCCUAUGGUAAUUAGCUGCUCUCCGUAUGACACUUCAAACCUACCUCUAGCCAGGUCUACUUAAACCAAACUUUUCAUAGGUAAUAAUUCUGCUUGACUCAUUUUUGGGUGCCUGACUUGCAACCCUAGACUAUGAUUUGUGCAUAUUGCUACAACUGAAGUCAACGACAGCUGUGUUUAGGACAUAUAAAAUACUACAUAAUGACACAGGCUCUGAAAAAAUGGAUCCUAGGCAUCUCCCAUGCAGCACUUACAGAUACACUUCGCUACUUCAUUCCUAAUUUCUCCCUGCUUCAAUUUCCCAUUUGCAAAAUUUCAUGUGACACGGAUGUUGUAGAAGGAAACUUCUGUUGCAGACCUACACAACAGUGAUGAGCUCAGUGAGAUGCUCAUGGAGGAAUUUGGGGCUGGUUUUGCCGUUGUUGUGACAGGACUUGAAUAGCACUCAAUAACUUGGGCAUAACGGGACCACACACUGAACAAUGAAGGAAAAAAAUACUGAACAGUACUGAAUUCAAUACUAUUCAGUACUGAAUAGUCCUGAAUGAGGCAAGGGUUGGGAGGGGGGAAAAAACCCUGUUUUUGAUUAUGUAACCAAAACCAAUAUCCUAAUGUGCAGACAGGGAGUCCAAACAAAGCUUGCAGGGGCAACCUUUAUUAUAAAUUUUGAAUGCUUGCCUUUGCAGCCUUAAGAAUGUUCUUUUAAUGUUAUUGUUUACAUAAUAAAAAGAUGAGAGAGAAACUAGGCCCAUUAGUAAAUGAGGAAAAGAAUAAAAUUAAUGACAAUUCAGAAAUAACUAGAACUGAUUCUACACUGGGGAUCUGCCCCAGUUACGGCCCUCAGUGGCCAGCCACCAGCACACCAUCAGCAGUACGAAUCCACUGUACAAACAAGGAACUUUACUGCAACUUCUGCAGGCUGCUGAAAUCAGCCGGACGUGCAUCAAGCAAUUUAUUUAAUUUCUGUUUAGAUUUAUUCUGCCUAAACUUGUCUUUUGAGCACUAGGUAGGCUGCAUCAGGGCCUGAAAUUCUGACUGAGAAUGCCCAACACACCUUUACAAGUAUGGGAAACUCUGCCUUUUGCAGGAGAAAAACUGUUCAGGUAGUAAGCCAGAUAUUUACAUGCAGCUAUUGAGAGGUAACGCGUACAGAUACUAAUGUCAUAUGGAUAUGCGUGUCAUAUGCAUUAUUUAAUAAAUCUGAAUGUGCAGCUGAUCAGCAAGCUAUUUUGGAAGUAAUGAAGAAGUGUAGUGAUGGCAGGAAAAUAAGUGAAAGGUGAAGAAGUUGAUUCUUGUUGAAGGAUUAAAACAACUAAACAGGUGCUUACUUGGCUCACUGACUUAACGAGAAGGUAUCCAUAAGAAAUAACUAAAAGAAAAUAAAGAGACUGUCUGUAUAGUGAUGUAUGUAGGUGUUACAACAAAAGGAUGAAAGUAGAAAAGAAGAAAACAAAAAUGCAGAGAAAUACUACAGGGCAUACAUACUGUACUCCUGUACUACAGGACAACACCUGGGCUCAUCAGCUGCUCUUUAUUCACGGUAAAACCAGAAGGCUCGGUCCAGACAAAGGUUUCACAGUUUGAGUUCUGAAGAAAGCUCCCAAUGAAGCCAGACCCUGACUUUACAUCCAAAAUUGUAAUUAAGAUGGAGAGUCAAUGAGCAGCAGAAAGUUCAUGGACAGUGGAUGAGGACAAGGACACGGACGGGCAGGAGGGGAAGCAGAAAGCACAGCAGCACGCCGGUUCCUUCCCUCUCUGUCAGAAGCAGCUCCCUGCCAGACCUCCCUGUCCUGUGGGUAUGCAGCAACACUCCUCCUGCUUCCUAUUUUUCUGGAUGGCAGAGGCAGAAACACAAACUUCAGAACAUGUGUCCACAACCACUGCUCUCAGAUCAAACUACCCCUUCUCACAGCACAGGAAUAACGAGGAAGCCAGAAUUCCUUCUUGGCUUACCCUCCUUUUG